rnacentral:lncRNA from 1 species
GUAAACGUUUCCUUAUGGAAAAAUCUGAUAAUAAAUAGAGCAUCAUCAACAAAGUGCAAAGGUACAUAAAUACAAAUAAUACAUUGAUGAAUCCAUCAAUAAAUACAUAAACACGAAAUAGAUUAGAUUAACAAUUUUGUCUCGUCAUUCCAUUCACCAUAUAACUAUUAUCAAAUUGCUUCAAACCAAAACACAGAAAGAGUGGGAGAGUUGGUAGAUGUGUGACUUGACAUGCUUUUUAGUGCUCAAUGCUUUGUACUUUGCCAUCAACAUCUUUAAAAGAGCAGGGAUGGCAUGGAAAUAGUCCUUAAUGUCCUUUCUUGCCCCUACCACCUGGGCUGGAUAUUGUGGGUAGAGCUCUGGAAAGUACUCUGUGUGCAGGUGGGAUGGCGCUGGGAUAGACCCUCCCUGCUUGCAGUGUUUCUUCAGAAAUGUGGAGAACUUGGGCCUCUUCUCAAGAGGUAUAUCUGCUUUGAUUAAUGUUCUUGUGAAGUCCCAAGACGAACUCCUUUCUGAGGAGGGGUCUUUGCAAGACAGGAGGCCAGGGUCUGUGUUCUUGUUUGCACUGAAAAUGUUUCUGAAAGUAAAGAACAAUGUUACAUUUAGCAAAUUAAGUAUUCUCAGGUUGAGUUCAAUAGCAGCCCUAGAGUGAAUCUCACGCUUUGAAGCUAAGCACUCUCUCCUGAAGCGACACACACAGACCAUAAACCUGAUAGUAUGUCUCACACACACAUUUUAAAAACAAUGAUAGUUAACAAUUUUUUUAAACAAGAAAUUUUACAAAAAAUAAUGUCUGUGACUUGCUGCUUUUGUAAUUAAUUCCCAACAUGUCACUUGUUUUGAUAGCUCCAGACGGUCACUUUGGGUAACUUGUUAGCUACUAGCUAACAUUAACUCACCUCAACUAAAUUAGCUAACGAGCCUAAAUGGCAUGGAGUGGGAAGCUUGCCAGGCUAAAAUUAGCUAGUUACCUUCACACUCCUAUCUAAAUACUGUAGUAUGAUCUAAAAUAAGGAGCGGCGACAACGAGGUUCUAGCUCCAGCCUGUUUAUUCCCCUAACCCACGCAUGUCAUACAUAGGUACGGAUACCCCCAAGGGACAUCCUACUACAUCUUCCCCUCUCCCAUGAACAAGAACUCAACAUGCAUAACCACUGAAGCAUAACUGAAAUGCAAUUGGGAAACCAGUAUUAUUCUCUAACAUACUUCAUGUCCUGAAACAGUAUGAAAGCAUUAAAUCACACAGUAUGAACAUUAACUUAGGUACAGUCUCUUUUUGCUGGGUAUGGUCCCCAACAGUAUGUUUUCUCUUCACGUAACAUAGUCUUUCAGCCUGGUGGCUUCACAUCCCUUUUUGGGCGCGCUUGUGGCUCUGUGAGCAUUCUCUCUCCUUCACCCUCUUUUUGUGCGUUUUCUGUGGCCUCAGUCUGUGUGGCUGGUAGAUCUGGAAGAGCUCUGAGGUGUGUUUUGUUCCUUCGUACCUCUUCUGAGCCUGUGUCCACCACAUAGGAGCGUGGGGCAUCCGCUUUCCUCAGCACUAUUGCUGGUGUCUUUGAGUUUGUAAUCCACACACGUUGACCUUCGGUCAGCUCUGGCCUCUCCGUAGCACGGUGUCUUCGAUUAAAGUCUCCAGUUCGCAUUUGUUUCAGCCGUUUGUCCCUCUCAGCGAAGGCCUCCCUGUUAGGCCAUCGGGGUUUAAGCUGAGCCGGCAAGAGAGGCAAUGGGGAACGCAGCCUCCUGCCCAUCAGGAGCUCGGCAGGCGACAGCCCAUGAUGCAGUGGUGUAACUCUGUCAGCUAAAAGAGCCCUGUAUGGAUCCUUGUUCUUUUUCAGCAGUCCCUUGACUGUUUUCGCAGCUCUCUCUGUGAAAACAGAGAAAAGGAGCUUGCAGAGAACUGGGGAGCGUUAUCUGUAACCAGGACCUCAGCGACCCCUUGCCUGGAAAAAAAUUGACUUUAAUCCAUUGAUAACACCAGCUGAUGUGGUUAUGGGUGUCUUUGCUAUUUCAAUGUAUCUUGAGUAGUAAUCUACCACUAGCAGAUAAGUGUCAUUUUUCAAAUAGAACAUAUCUGUCCCAACCUUUUGCCAUGGCCGUUUUGGCAGCUCCUUUGCCAUCAUUGGCUCCGGAUGACAAGGUUGACAUUUUGUACAGACCUCACAUCCCCUCACAUUUGUACAGACCUCACAUCCCUGCACACCAGUCUGUGGGACUCUCUAUUUUAGACACCGCCCCAAUUUCUUCCAUCCUCCCCAACUCUUCCUUUACUCUGGCCAAUAAAGGGAUAGGCACACGGCGGGAGGUGGGUAAGGGCAUAGGGGACAGCAUCCUCUUUCAGGCGGAUUUUGUAGUCACCUUCUAUCCUUCCUAGACCAGAAAACACUUUGGGGAAUUUCUUUUUGAAAACCUCACCUGGGUCCUCCAGUUCGCUCACUCUCUCAAUGAGUUGCAAUGUAAGUCGCUCUGGAUAUAAGAGCGUCUGCUAAAUGACGUAAAUGCUUCAAUUGCUGGCAGCCCCAGCAACGGUCUGGCUGGAGAGUCAAUGACGAAGACAGGCUGGAUGCCACUUUUGUCUUUACUCUCCAGUUUAAUCACCAAGUGCCCUACCACUGGUAAAAUCGUAUUACUGGGCCCGUACAGUUUUGUGUUUGUAGAGAGCAAAGGGCCAUCUCUGCUAUAGCUAUACAGCCUAGUUGGGAUAGCUGUCACUGCUGCCCCAGUGUCUAGUUUAAAUGACACAACCUCCCCAUUGAGUGUAAUGUCUGAACGCCAGCCAGCAUUGUUUUCCUUUACUUCUCCCAGAAAGAUGCUGUCCUGCUGUACCCCCUCUGAGACCUCAUGCAUUUGCUUUAAUCGACAGACAGCUGGAAAGUGUCCUCUCCUGUGACAUUUCCUGCAUUCCGCAUCCUUUGCUGGGCAAUCUUUCCAUCUGUGGAAAGGGGAUUUCCCACAUUUGCGACAAACACUUGAACUAGCUACUGGUGCUGUUCUGUGUUCCCCUCCGUUUUUUUUUUAGCUCGGGAAUAAAAAUGCAUUUAUUUCCUCACUCUCUUCGCUCUGCACGGAGCUGCUAUCUUUUUACUGUCUCACUCUGCCUAACCUGGUUUACAGCUUUAGACAAGGUAAGCUGGGAAUCCAACUGUAACUUUUCAGAAAGUGAUAUAUUUCUUAUUGCCACUACAAUACGAUCUCGGAUCAGCUCUUCCCCGAGCGCGCCAAACGGACAAUGUUCUGCUAGUUUGUGAACAGCUGUGAUAAAACUGUCAGGUGGUUUCACCCUGCUCCUGUUUGCGCAUAUUAAACCUAGCUCUCUCAAAUAUAAUGUUGCGUCUCCCUACAAAAUGCGUUUCAAAACAGUCUUUAACGGCACUGUAGUUAAGUGUCUCUUCCUCAGUCAACGUUGAAGCAUUUAAUGUAUCCUCGGCUUCAUCACCCAUAGAGUAGAUCAGUGUAUUAACUUGAAAUGCCUCAUUUUUUUCACGUUUAAGCCUGAUGCUACCCUGUACCUUUCAAAGCGCCCGAUCCAUUUCGGCCAGUUUUGAAUGUCCAUACAAACAAAAUUCUCCGGGGGACUAAUGCGAAAUCCGUCAGCACUAGCCACUGGCCUGUCCGUGUUUGCGCCAGAGCCCGUUGAACUUGGGAGUCGCAAACCCUGAAAUCCCGCCAGCUUCUUCCUCUUGCAACAUGUUGCUUAGCAGUAACUUAGUCCUUGCUCGUUAGCUAGCAAAAUAAUGAUAUGCGCUGUUUUAUCUCCAACACUGCCCUCCCUGCUUUGAAACAGCCUGGAUGUAUGAUUUACUUGGUACGUCCUUAACGUUUAUGUGAAUUUUAAAACAACUGACACCAUUUAGUAUGAUCUAAAAAAUAAGGAGCGGCGACAACGAGGUUCUAGCUCCAGCCUGUUUAUUCCCCUAACCCACACAUGUCAUACAUAGGUACGGAUACCCCCAAGGGACAUCCAACUACAGAUACAGACAAACAUGAAAUUAUCAAGAAAAUAUGUGCUCCACCGCAGUUUCACGCCGUAUGUAGUCGAUUGAAUUCUGACGGUCUUUGCAGAGAAGUAUUUCUCCAUCCCUGUUCCUGGCUGUUAUUCUGGUCGCCUCAGCUCCUCUGCUGUAAAUCUGGGCAUUUUUUUUGCUGGAUAACGUUACUUCUGUCCUCAGACAGCUGCCAUUCAUUCACUGAUCUAUCUG